UUUUUUCCAUCGCUGCUCUGGCCAGUUGGCCGUGGCAGGGGGGUGGCGUCUGAAUUUUCCUUCCUUGUUCCCACAUCCCCCUCGCUUGGCUGCCAGCUCCCUCCUCCUUCCAGAAGCAGCCUGUAGCAGGGCAGAAGGCAGGACUCUGGCAAUGUAGAAGCAUCCAGUUCCAGCACCUGGUGGGAGAGAGACCCGAAGGCAGCCGGUUCGGGCAGAGGCGGAAUUGCUUGCUCACGGCCCUGCCCAGUGGUUAGAACGGAAACCUGGGACGACUCAGAAGGGUGAGUCUGUGCAUGACGUUAGUUUUGUUUCCUCAUUUAUUCGGACGCUUCCUGAGCAGGGUGGUUGGACCCAUGGGGCUUGAUUCUAUGAGUCCAGCUGAUUAAAAUGCCAGAAAUAUGCGGAAAGGCAUUUUGUCUAGUCUUGACUGAGCACCAACACUGUGAAAAGCUCAGAACAGCCUGGUUCUAAUCCCGGCUCUGCCACUUGUCUGUUUUGUGGCCUUGGGCAAGUCACUUCACUUCUCUGUGGCUCAAUCACCUCAUCUGUAAAAAGUGGGGAUUAAGACUGUGAGCCCCAUGUGGGAUGUGGACUGAAUCCAACCUGAUUAGCUUGUAUCUACCUCAGUGCUUAAUACAGUGUCUGGCACACAGUAAACUCUUCACAAAUACUGCUAAAAAAACCCACAAACAGAGACACACUUGAUCACAGUUCUUAUCCUUCAGAAGUUUUCACUCUGAGGCUGCAACUAGAGGACUGACUGUACAUAUUCCAUCUGGGUACACAGUGCACCAGCUCAGUGCUUUUUUCACUUUUCUUUUCCCUCCUCCCAUCUUUUUCCAGGUCCUGGAAAUCCAUGGACAAAGCCCUAGCCUCCUCAUCAAUGGUGCUUCGCCACCCAGCCACGAUGACACUCCUGUGCCCCAAGGCUCUGCUCCCUGCCAGAGGUCAGCAUGGAUAUCACCAUGGCAGUGGGGCAGGGUGUGUGUGUGUGUGAUGAUGGCGUGGGGGGAGAGACCCGGGACUGCCACAGCUGUAGCAUCACCCAGUUCUGGAGGAAUGAAGUGGACACCCCGGCAGCCGGCAGAGAAAGGGAAGGCAGAAGGGAGACGAAGGAAACCCCUGUCUAGCUGCACACAGCUAACCCUGAACCGCCAGCAACAGCCACGGGGAAAACUCAUGGGACUGUAAGCUUGUUAUGGACAGGGAAUGUGUCUGUUUAUUGGUAUACUGUCCUCUCCCUGGUGCUUAGUACAGUGCUCUGAACACAGUAUGCACUCAAUAAAUAAAUUGACUGACUGAAUGAAUGAAUUCCAGGAGAAGGAUGGAGAGAUUCCUCACAGGAGAACUGGCAUCCAGAGGUCACGAAGUGAAGCCAGGGACAGAAAAGAAGCAGGGGCAUUUGAACUCUAAGGGCAUUUUUACCAGUGUGCGCAUAUGCAUGUGUGUGUAUGCACAUGUACACACUCAUGUGGGAGACCAGGGCCAGGGUAUUCGUAUGUGAGGGGACUUUCAGCAUGCAUCCAGGAAUGAGCAGGGCCCCCAUCCCUCAAGUGCAACUCACAGUUCACCACCGGCAUGGUGAAACAGCCGCAAACUAGGGCAUGUCUGGUGGGGCUCUGCCAGCCGUUAAUAAAGGUUUCUAACCAAAGGAACACCUAGUGCAGCUCUCACCGUGGACAACCUUCCGCAGGAAUCCUGGAAAGAGCUGGCUCACAUGGGCGGCAAAGGCCACGGCGGCUACCGCGGCAACCUCCCGCUAAUUCCAGGGGCUGCAGCCCAGCAUUGGCACUGUGCUGCAGUCAGUUUGGCUGUAGAGGAACCCUGUGUGGGACGGGGACUGUGCCUGAUUCGAUUAUCUUCUAUCUAUCCUUGCGCUUAGUACAGUACUUGGCAAAUAGGAAGCACUUAAUUUCCACCAUUAUUAAAUAAAGCUCUUGCAUACACUUCUGAAAAUGCUGGCCUCCUGCCCUCUAAAUCCCUGUUUUCCCCAGCAAAAAUCUGACCGGUGAGAACGAGAGAGGAAAGUGACACAGCCCAAACCACUAGAAUUUGAGUGUAUGCUCUUAGCGGAGAGGGAACGUGGCUUGUGUUCCUUUUGUACUUUCCAAGUAUAUAGUAUGGUGCAAUGAACUCGAUGGGUGAUCAAUAAAUGCAUUUGCGGCUAUUACUGCUAUCACUACUACUAUUACUUCUAACACAUAA
rnacentral:lncRNA from 1 species